UAAAAGCAAGUGCUACUUGAUAUCUUUGUAAAUACUUAAAUUGUUUACUGCAGGAUGGACUGGGGUUUAGAGCUUAGAGUGGAAUCAACAUGGGGAAAACAGACUCAGCUGUAGGAAUGUUGAAAAAAAGAAUGGAGGCGGUAAUGGAGAUGGCAGCUGAAGUUUCCAAAGUCCUGAUUCAGAGAAAUAAUAUCAGCCAUCUCUACAAGAUUUUUCAACUGAUGAAGAACCUUUAUUCUCCCUUGUGUUUUCACACAGGCUAUGUAGAAGUUGAAGAAUGGGGAAACAACAUGAAAAUAAGGAAACAAAGGUGUCUGUGUAUAAAGAGAAAAUGAGUGAAUCAGGAAUACACUAAGCAUGGACCGUAAGUGUAAUAAAUGAAUAUCUGAAACGUUAAAAUGUGUGCUU
rnacentral:lncRNA from 1 species